UUGCUUUGUCAUCCUGCACAUCUUCUAUUAAAAGCCUUCAUUACAGAAAUGAUGUAAUGCUCACUUCUGAGUGUCUUACGGAGUCAGGAAGCCCUGGAGGAAGGGCAGACACAUCUGAGAGAAGGAGGAUGGAAAUCAGUGUGGACAAAGUGCAAGGGUUGAGUCCAGCUGCAGAGUUCGGGGGAGUUCUAUGGUUGAGUGAGACACGUAUGCUACUGAGAAGAGCCUGUGACAGCCCGGAUAACCUUCAGAAGCCCUUUCUGAGAACAGAGGGAUGGGCCUCUGCACAUCACAGACCCAUCACCGCAAAAGGCAAUUGAAAGCCGGAUUUCAGGGCACCACAUACCUUGUUGCUGAGGUUCAUUAGAUGCCCUCUUUCUUAGGGUUUCCACAGGAGCCUUUCUUCCUCAGCCCUGUGUUCCAGGGGCCUCCUCCGGGAUGAUUUUUAAUAUCUUUGCCAAAUUAAAUAUGAGCCACCUAAUUACAAUGGGGACACCCUGCCCUUGGAUGAACAAACUCGAGCUAUAGAAGAAAUGUUGCAUCAGCAUCGCAUCCUCCCUGAACUUUGAAAAGGAGGGAACUAGAAGCCGCGUCUGCUUCUGCUCAGGAUGGAUCCAUCAGCCCCAGUGACUGCUGUGAGAGAGCUCAAGGUGCUGCCCCAAGUUCCUUACGGAAAACAGAGUGCCAAGCCCACCAAGAAUGCAGCUGAUAGCCCUGCAUGACUGUGGCCUCUCCUGUCACUCUGUAAAGGGAGCCAGGGAAGCAGGCCUGAGGCUGGCAUGCAACUCAUUGGUGGCUAAGGCCAUGGUCAGCAUGAGAAGGAGCUGAACACUGUUUCUAGAACUGCAUCUGGACCAGACCCCCUUUAGAAGGGUGUGCUACAGAGUCCAUAGGCCCUGAGUGGUCCAGGCAGUGGCUAGAGGGGCUGGAUCCUCUCCAUAGGAAACCCCCUCAUAGCUGGCAAAAGAAAUGGGUGAAGUGCUUAUCUCUACCCAUGGUGGUGUCCUAGGGACCCAGGGACCCUGCUUUUGAAGACUCUGAGUACUCCAGAGUCCAAGAGAGGAAGUGACAGAGAACAUCAGAAAGAAUCUUCCGUGAGUGAAUAUGGUGCAGGCUAUGUGUCUAGAUGGAAAUCUGGACCCCUCAGAGUUGUUACUGAUUGAUGCCUCUUUCUUCUAACAGUUGAGGGUUAACAGAGGUCCUUGCCACAGACUCGGUGUGGCCUCUGUCUUGUGAGAGUUCUAAGAAUCUGUCUGUCAUCCCUACUCUAUGUCGUGUCUGGGAACCACAAGUUUUGUGGGAAGAGGGGUGAGAAGGAGAGAUGAAGACUCAGAGGUGAUGGCUUCCUGGGGGUAACACUGGGUGAGAAUUACAAGGGGGUUUGUUAGAGGUGAGGCUGACCCAGAAUCUCAACAGCAUGGAAAGAGGGGGCGUGCCCCAGAUCAGUAGUCUCUGGGUACCCCCAUCAGAGCAGUCACCCUCCAGCCUUGAAGGCAGCCUGAUCCUGGUGGGGUCUAAAGCUUUCUCUCAACUGUGUUGGGACUUGUCUGGGAAAAGUCUUCCUUCAGUGUUACCUCUUAAAAACAACUCUGUUGAGAUAGCAUUCACAUCCCACGCAGCCCACCCACCCAUGGUGUGGAGUCUGGUGGUUUGAAGAAAUUCACCAAUACCAACACCACCACAGCCAUUUGUAGAACAUUUAACAUCACCCCCAAGAACAGCUCUGGGCAGCAACGAAUCUACUUUGUGUCUCAUGUUCCCAGGUCUGGAAGUUUCACAGGGAUGGCAUCCGUGGUCCGUGCCAGUUCCUCCCCCAUGUGGAGUUUUCUUUGGACACAGUAAGCACUAACUGUGCCCGACUGGUUUGCUUUCAGUGAGCCCUUGAGUUCUAAUAACUGUUAGGCAUAUUUGGGAUAGGAAUGUAACUCAAUAUCCAAAGCCCUGUGUCCUGUCUACAGUAACCCAAACACAUAGCUUGAAUGACAGUAUUGCUCAGAGGUCAGUGACAUGGGACAUCCUAAUACCUGGGCUUCCUGGCUUCAGGUGGGGGAGGAACCACCUCCAUGGGUGGAGAUAAGUACUUCACCCAUUUCUCUUGACUUCUUGGACACUUGCCACCCCCUCUGACAGUGGGGACAUCAUGUUCCCUUAGAAGAGCCAUUGGUACUGCAGUUCUCCUCCAGAGCCACCCAGCAUCUCCAUUGACUCCCCUCCAUCCUAAGCCUCCUUCUCUGGGAGGGGCAGUAAACUGACAACUACCCCACAUAGUGUUGAAGAGAUUCAAUGCAACUGGGGCAUUUUGGCAGUCACAAGGGGGUAUGGUCCACACAGGCAAGAAGAAAAGAUAUAUUUGAAGGAAGUUGAGUUGAGGGGAGAGAUGUAUAAACAUCUGUGUGUAUGUGUGUCUAUGUGUGUGCAUGCACAUUACAUACAUGCGUGGAGGGCCAGAGGUGAACAUUCUCCACAUUAAUUCUUGAUAUAGGGUUCCUCACUGAACCCGAGCUCACAAAUUGGGUAGGCUAGCUGGCCAAUGGGCACUGGAGCUCCACCUGUCUCUGUGUUCCCACCCUUACCCUAGUGCUGGGGUUACAGAAGUGUGUUGCUCAGCCCAACUUUUAUGCACGUGCUGGGGAUCCAGAGUCAGGUCCCCAUCCUUGUGCAGCCAAGUCUUUACUGGCUGAGUCAUCUUCCAAGCCCAAGAUGUUUAAGCAUUGUAAAUGUCCGAGAUGCAAAGCAUUCUUCUUUGUUGCUGUGAUAAAACACUCAACCAAAAGCAACCUAAGAGAAUUUGCUCACAGCCAAGGAAGUACAGCAGAAACCAUGGAGGAUGCUACUUGCUAGCUGACUUACAGGCUCACACUUAGCUAGAUUUCUUAUAUAGCCUAGAGCUGCCUGCCCAGAGAAGGAUGCCAUGCCCACAAUGGGAUGGGCUCAGGAAAGGAGGACCCUGACCUAGUCCACUGUGAACACAAGCCAGUCCAGGAUGAUUAGACUCAACAUAGUCUAGAUCCAGGCUCCAUGUGGCAGGCUGGGAGAAGAAACUGGGUCACAGUCAGCAUGAAUCCUUUUGGACUAUAGGCUCUGAGAGCAUCUUCAUGAUGUAACCACAGGCUUUCAUGUUAAUGGCAGGAAGCCCCAUCUGCCUUGACACUGCUUCAAAGAACCAUUCCCUCUCCCUCUGUGAGAUCAGCAAAUGUGUCCCCAGGGGCCUCUGAGUCUGGAAAUCAGGAGGCUGAGAACUGAAAGAACCACAAGACCAAGGGACCAGCAGGAAGGCCAGGAGAGAACUUGACCCCAGGAUGAAGAAGGACCGCAUUCAGGAUCUUCACUCAAGAUUGGAAGGAUACCUCAGGAGCCUCCUCCAAGUACCCAGGUGGGUCUUUCUGGGGACAGACAUCUGUGUCAGCAGUGUGGGUGUCUGCGGAAGCCCGUGAGUAGGGUGAGGGAUGCACUGUCCAGAACAGCAUGUAUUUUCCUUCAGAAGGGAGUACGUCUCGGCCAGAACUGGGUCUGUGUUACCUGCCAGGCAGGCUGGGAACAGCGGGCCCACCAGUUCACUCAGCUGUAACCUCAGCAGCCAGGACUCUAGGCUUCAGAUCCAAUUCUGUCUGGUAAAAUUGGAGCUCUCCUUACACUAAAUGGGCUCCUUGAUCUGAUUCCAUGAUCAUCAUGAAAUCAGCGCUAUCCAGAGCCCACUCUGAGGUCCUGGAAAUUAAUUUAGCUAUUUCUUGAGCAAGCUCAGCAUUCCCACACUGACAGCCCAGCUUUCAAAUGCACUGGCUGCUGCUCUCGGGAGCAAGGGAGGGAGGCCAAGAUGUCAUCUCUGGCAUGCUGGAGAACACAGGACCCAGUCAAUGCCAGUGAGGCCAUUGGCUUUCUACUUGAUGGGUGCAUCACUAGGCCCAGCAAGGCAGACUCUACCUCACUCAGAGGAGGGGUGCAGAAGUAGCCUCCCUAGCCAGGGUCUCCUAUGGGGGAAUGUGCGGUUACAGAGAGGUCUCAGAGUUUGGACACAGGAAGGGCAGACAGUUCCCAGCCUUUGCCUCUUCCUUUUCUCAUAAUCCCCCACUUUGGACAUGAACAUUAUCACAUUGAAAACUAUCCACUGUGGACCAAGUGUGUUAAUAAUAAACAUGGAACUAGAGUAGACUGUCCUUUCUGGUCCUGCCUUCACUCAGUUUCUUUUAAAUGUUGUGGCCUCAGGGUAGUUUGGGGGAGUUUUUUCGCUUUUCUCUCAGGAAGUGUCUGUUUCAAACUGGAAUAUUUUGUUCCUUGCAAACUUGGUAUAACACGUCUCUGCAACCUGUGUGAGACAAAUAACACCUCCUACAGGUUCCUAGCUGGAAGGGACCCUGUGACAAAAGACAGCUGAACCAGAGAAAAGUGCACAGAAGCUUAGUGACGUGUGUGUUUCGUGAGCACACAGACACACUAGGAAAUACACAGCUUUCAGGAUGGGCCUUGUAUUGCAGCUUGUGUAGCUUCCUCAGUAAAGAUCUGCGAGCCUGGGAGAGGUGACAAGGCAAGGAACACUCAGGGUCUCUAGAGUGGGUGCUGUCGGGCAAGACAAGUGCCUAGCAACGGAUAAAAAUGGAUGUUCUCUCAGCCAUGUUAAAGCCAGUCAGCACGAACCCCUCCAGGUCUCCCUGGAGGCUUCAGGGAGUAUGUUGUCAGCUUUCACCUCCCAGGGACAGGGGUGGUGGCAGGUCCCUUUGAUCUGUAAACCUGGGCCCUGCUUUUUGGUGAGCAGAGGGAGGCAAAGCCCUUGCACCUGAUGCUUCUCGACCUUGGCACUUAGCGGUGUUCUGCAAUUGUCAGCUGGGUUUUCUUAUGCGGAGAUAAUAAUGGCUAUAGAACUCUCAGGUCAACCCUCUCCUCUUGAAUCAAUAUUUAAGUCAUUAUUUUCUAGGAAGUGAUUUGCUUUCCAUACUUGAACAUCUCGUUCAUUUUGAAGGAGACUUCAAAUUGACUGGUUUGUGGUCUUUUUAUCCUUUAAAACUGCUGUACACAUCAGCUGACUUCCUCAUUUUCGUCCUAGCAGUCACGGCCUUCCCUCUCAUGAGCGCUGUGGACGACACUUCAGUCAACUCUCUUUCCUGGGGCUUCUGGAUUGGGCCUUAUUUGAUGACUAAUUUUAGCUCAUGCCUUUAUCUUUUUUCUCCCAGUGACAUUGCCCUUAGCCUCCUCUUCUUCCUCUCAUUGAGGUUGGAUAUUUAGCUCAUUGAUUUUCAUUCUUUCCUUCUCUUAAGGCUACAGUUUCCAGGUACCAUUACUUUAGUCUAUGUAAUGAUAACAGAAUACCUCAGGCUGGGUAAUUUAUAAAGGUAAAAAAUAUUCCUCAGUCUUGAGCCUGGAAAGUUCAGAAGAAUGGUGCUGGCAUCUGGCAAGAGCCUCCAGAUGUGUCCUGAUGUGGUGGAGGGACAAGAUACACAGAGAGGGUUGGACCCAUCCUCCUAUCAGGACCCCACUCCAGGGAAACAAACCUGGUCCCUCAUUAAUUACUCUUGAAAGCAGGGCCCUCAUUCUUGGUCAUUGGGGUUUAUUGUUAUUAUUACUUUUUAAGAUUUAUUCAUUUUAUUUUUAUAUAUGAGUGUUUUGCCUGCAUAUAUGUAUGUGCACUACAUGCAUGCCUGUUGUCCAAAGAAAUUAGAAGAGGAUAUCAGAUCCCCUGGAACUGGAGUUACAGAUGCCUGUGAGCCACCAUGUGUGUGCUGAAAACCAAAGUCAGCUCCUCUGCAAAAACAAAUACUCUUAACCACCGAACCACGGCUCCAGUUCCCUUGAUCACCGUUAAACUCACCUCUCAACACUUCAGACUGUAAUGGCAAUUGAAUUUCAGCUCAUUUGAUGUGUCUUGUUGUUAGUUAGUUAGUUUGUUUGCUUAUUGGUUGAGACAAGAUCUCACUAUGUGUCCCACGAUGGUUUCAAAUUCAUGGUAAUCCUCCUGCUUCACCCUCUUGAGUGCUAGGAUUUCAAGUGUAAGCCACAACACCCAGUUUACCAGUUUUAAGGAUUUCUAAUGUUUAUUUUGCAUCAUUCCUUAAUUUGUGUGCCAUUUAGAACUGUCUGUUUUAUUUUUCCAAAUAAAUGAUGAUUUGUAAAGGUUA